rnacentral:lncRNA from 1 species
GAUGGAUGCUGUGAAGGUGCUGCUGUGUUAAUCAUAGUGUUUAAAGUGGAAGACUGCAUCUUGCAUAAGUGAAUGAAUUUGCAGGCAUAUCCACGGCCUUAUAUAAACACAGUCCCAGGUUAAUCAGGAAGAUGGGAGGUGGGAGAAAUGCUGCAAAGAGCCUCUGGCUUCAUCACAGACCUUGAGCCUGCAGGGAACAGUCUGCAACAAGAAGCCUUUGACUGGACACCAACUGAUGCUUUGGUUUGUGAGGGAUUCCAUAAAAGGUCAUAUCUUUCUGCACCGAUCCUCCACUUGCCUCAGGUGGGAAUGCGCUGGAGCCUAUGUGAGCUCCUUGCACCAUCACACUAAUCUGUAGUGUUUGCACUGGUGAAAUGAGACCUGGGGCCAUGCUGACCUAGACCUCCUUUGCCAAAGAGAAGGUGCCUGAAGUUCAAGAGGGAGGCAGACCGGGAAGAAGUCCAACUUUCUGGGUGUGUAGCAGUUUUUUACGCAAGUAUCAUGAAAUGAAAUGCUCUGUCCUGAAAUGCUAGUUACUUAGCUUUAACUUUGUGGCCACAAAGGUUUGAGC